rnacentral:rRNA from 1 species
AAGAGCAAACGGUGGAUGCCUUG